GAAAAAAUAAAAAAAAAAAAAAGAACAAAUAGAAAACGCCAACAAUAUUAAAAGCAGUGGCCGUCUCUCAGCAAUGACGGCCCUGCUCACGGCCUUGUUGUCUAAUGAUAGUCUUGCUAAUGAUGCGUUCGCACACGCACACGUAUAGUGGUAACGAGAGACUAUUUUACCUACCAGUCAUCUAUGGUUGGGCAUCGUUCAAGCCAGAAACAUUUAACAAUAAGUAAAUAUAUGUAUACACAAUGUGUAUAUUUGACUAUCGAAUAAUUUACACCGGCCAACAUCAGUCUUUGUUUCUUCAAAAAGUUUCUGUCUUAUUUAUUUUGGAGAGAGUUCAAAUCGCAAUCAUUCAACAUUAAAAGUUUACUGCAAUUUUUUGUUAAAAUAUUUCACGAUGAUAAUGAUACUAAUUAAAAAUUAUUUGAAUUGCAGAUCACUCGAUUUUAAGUAAAAAUUAAAAGUGGAAAGUGAAAAUUAAUAGUCUGUAACACACGAAGUUCUUCUACGUUUGAAUAGAAAGAAAAAAAAAAAAAAAGAAAAAUAACUUUCUUAGAUUCUUCGUUAAAAAAAAAAAUAAAUGGAGUGGAUCUGGUGAUCAAUUUUAAUCCGUUCAGUCAAUAAUUAUUAAAUUUAAUUAUUUCAUAAUUGAUUUCCUAAACCGAUUACUAAUCACUUGACUAAAUAACAGGUUACCUAGAGACAAAAAAAGUCCUUCAAGUUGAUUGAGUAUGAAUACAUUGAAUUUAAAGCAUCGCGAGAUAUGUAAGAUAUUUAUUUUUUAAAUUGAUACGGCAAAGAAUAAAGAAAAAAUGAAAAAUAAAUAAAGGAUCUUAGUCUUCAUGAACCUUUAUAACUAAGAAACAAUACGUCUCUAAAGACCGGAGGAGAAAAACUUGUUGUGACCCCCUUUUACAAUGUUCAAUAAAAUGAUGUUCAACGUAUUCAAUACGCUAUGUUCAGUAAUAACUCACGCCAUUGUCUCAACUAACGAGAGAAUCAUCUUUGACAAUAUUAAAAUAACAUAACAAAUAAAGUAAUAAUAUAAUAUUGAAUAAAAAUUGGCAGCACCACUCCCUC